rnacentral:rRNA from 1 species
GCCAGACUCCUACGGGAGGCAGCAGUGGGGAAUAUUGGGCAAUGGGCGCAAGCCUGACCCAGCAACGCCGCGUGAAGGAAGAAGGCCCUCGGGUUGUAAACUUCUUUUAUCAAGGACGAAACAAAUGACGGUACUUGAUGAAUAAGCCACGGCUAACUACGUGCCAGCAGCCGCGGUAAUACGUAGGUGGCAAGCGUUAUCCGGAUUUACUGGGUGUAAAGGGCGUGUAGGCGGGACUGCAAGUCAGAUGUGAAAUUCCAGGGCUCAACCCUGGAACUGCAUUUGAAACUGUAGUUCUUGAGUGAUGGAGAGGCAGGCGGAAUUCCGUGUGUAGCGGUGAAAUGCGUAGAUAUACGGGGGAACACCAGUGGCGAAGGCGGCCUGCUGGACAUUAACUGACGCUGAGGCGCGAAAGCGUGGGGAGCAAACAGGAUUAGAUACCCGUGUAU